UGUAACAAUGCAAAUUUCUGAGCUGUGCUUGGUUUCAGCCACAGAUUUUGAUUGUCAGCAUCUGUUUCCUUGAUGAGUGUCUUGCAAAAGGACCUUGCUAAUGACUGUUUUUUUUUUUGUUUGUUUGUUUGUUUUUGUUUUUGUUUUUUAGUGUAUAUAUAUACUGACUUAAGUUCUAAUUAGAUUACACACUCAUGCCAGAAUUGGAUGUUGCUUCCCUCACUGACAUGGUUUUAUGUAAUUUGUAUUUCUCCUCCCUAGUUCUCUUCACAGAGAACCACACUUAAAUCUGAUUUACUGGAGAUGCUUAAGAUUAGUGUGCAAUAGAAGAGCAUCAUCACAAGCUUCAGUAGAAAAUUGGAACUGGACUUCUUACCAAGGGGUCAGAAGUGCAAGUUGCUACAGCCUUCUCCACAGCAAGAACUCUUCUGACACAACCAUACGAACUUCAGAUUAAAGGGCAAUGAAUGUUAUACUUGAACCAUGUGCUGUUUGGAAAAAGGAUUUUUCUUUACUUUGACCACUCCACCUGCUAAUUUUGUCAACCCACAAUGGAACAGAUUGACUUGCCAGCUGAGACCAUUUCUGUUCUUAAAAGACUGUUGACUCCUGGACUGUUGACUUCUGGAAUUCAUCCUCUCUCAAAAGCUCUCUGAUUCAUCCUAUCUAGAAGAUAUCAAGGAGUUCCAUCCAUAUUUCUUUGGCAUCCCUCUUCUCUGUUCAGCAAAGGAAUUGUGAUGAUGUACUGUAUUACCAGUGAGAUUUACUAUACACAUCAAAAGUUUGCAACCUACAUUCAGAUUAAAAACUAAACCUGGUAAUCCAAGCAGUUAUGUUUUUCUUUGAUGUCUUCAUGGAAAAAUGUCUAUUCUUAAAGAUAGGCCUCAGAUGAGCAGGGGAAAUAACAUACUAUCGAAUACAACCUGGUAUUAGAGAAACAUUUGGAAAUAAACAUUUUUUUGGAUGAAUUUCUAAAAAUUAU
rnacentral:lncRNA from 1 species